GGAGGCGCCGGUGGCCUCCGUGCCCCCAGAUUCCUCGCACCUCGCUUUGAUUCUUCUUCUUCAGAGGCUCAGGCUCUCCAGUCCCAUGCCGGCCUCGCUUCAGCCUUCAAGACUGGUGACUUGCGGUUUGAAGGUCGUGAGCGUGUUCGAUAUACUAGAGAUCAACUUUUGCAGCUCAGGGAGGUACU